AUGGGAACUCCUUUUUUUAUCUUUUAAUAUCAGCUACUCUUGUCAUUCUGUAAUAUCUUCUUGUGCUUUUCAUUUGCAUUUUCCUGAUAAUUUAGUGAUGUUGGGAUCACAUUUAUAUGCUUAUUGACCAUUUGCAUAUUUUCUUUUGUGAAUUGCCUAUUUAUAUUUUUGCACAUUUUUCAAGCAGUUGGCCUAUCUUUUUUUUUUGUCUUUGUCUUUUCUAGGGCCACACCCAUGGCAUGUGGAGGUUCCCAGGCUAGGGGUCUAGUUGGAGCUGUAGCCCCCGGCCUACACCAGAACCACAGCAACGUGGGAUCUGAGCCAUGUCUGUGACCUAGGCCACAGCUCAUGGCAAAGCCGGAUCCUUAACCUACUGAGUGAGGCCAGGGAUCAAACCUGCAACCUCAUGGUUCCUAGUCGGAUUCGUUAACCACUGAGCCAUAAUGGGAACUCCAGGUUGCCCAUCUUGAAUGAACAUUUUAAAAGAAAUAGCUAAUGUGAACUCAGCCUUCUCCCUGCAACUAGCAAGUGAUUAUAGAAAUAUUCAAUUUUCAGUUCAAAAUUACACAAGCAAAUAUACAGAACAGAAUAAUUAUUAUUUUUAAGAACCUCUUUAAAUACAAAUACUUAAUAUAGAAAAGUCAAAUAUAGAUAAGCCAUAGAUUUGAGAAAAAAAUCACAUUCACAUGCAUACAUGUUUAUAUCAGCAGAGACCUUAACACUUAAGUUCCAACAUAAAAAACAGAAAUAAAGUUGACUUCCUUCAGUUGAAAUCCGGUGGUGAUACAGAUCAACACUUGCUUGACUUCUCUUCCACUACAGUGACCCUUGAGAAAUUUCCAGAGCAGUGCAGUGUGUUUCAGUGAUUCGUAUAUUCAUCAUCACUGUAAUGUUCUGUAUAAUUGUAAUUAAGUUGAAUUAAGCCAUACAGAAGAGACACAUCUAUUGUUGGACUUAAGAUUCUGGUUCCCACAUACAGAGCAUCAUCAAGGAUUUCUGUGUGGCUGAAGAAAGGGAAUUGUGAGAUAAGAGAUGAUACUGAGCAUAAAUGAAGGCAAGUGACAGAUCAUGUAGAUCACAUGACCCAUGACAUGAAAUUUUAACAUAACUCCUCAAUCCAAAAUGCAAAAAAUAAUUCCACAUUUAUUAAGAAAUUGAAUGUUGUAAUCUGGAGGUUAAAAGAGAGGCAUCAGAUUGAAGUAAAAGCUUGAAGAUAAUACAUUAGUGGUAUUUCAAAUCAAGAAAAUGGAUGGAAGUACCCUGGGGAGAUUUUGUGUGUGUAUGUAUGUAUGUAUGCAUAUAUGUAUAUAUUUAAUACAUAAUGACCAUAUGGUAAAAAUAAAUUCAGUGUUGUGAAGAAUAAGUAAGAUCAGAAUGGAGUACAGUGAGAAAGGUUAGCUGAAACCUUGGAUAGGUAAAAGACAACCUGAUCACAUAACUAUCUGUGGACAAUGGUAUAGACUUUGGAUUUUAUCCAGAAGAUGUUCUGGAAAGCUGCUAGAAGAUUAAAGGCAGAAUUCUGACAGAUUUGCAUUUUAAGUAGAUAUCUGGCUCUGGCUGUUUUGGGAAGCACUGGUGACAAUGUGCUACCUUACGGGAAUGUUAGGAAAGUAUUGCUAUGUCCUAGGUGAAUGAUGACAAUGGAUGACAAAGUGGGCAUGAUAAGAAAUUCAAAAUAUGUUAUAAAGGUCAAGCUUAUAGAACUUGCUGAUAAGCCUGCCUGGAAUAUUUGAGAAAAAAUAGAAAUCAACAGUCAAUUCUGGGGGUUUUACUUUUUAUUUGGAGGUACUACAUAAAUGAUGGUUGCACUGGGGCCUUAGGAAGAGCAGGGUUAUUUGGAAAGUGGUAUAAUUAAGAACAUAAUUGAUAAAUUCCUGUUUUUCAUCUAAUGAAGAUGCUGAAAAGGUAGUGAAUAUGUGCAAAUUUGGAAUAUAAUGAAGAUCUCAAAGCUGGAAAUAUUAAUUAGAGACUACAUUUAGAUGGUAUUUAAAACCAUGGAUCUAGGCAAGGUGACCCAAGUAGUGACUAUAUAUAGAGAUGGAAGAGAUAUGUGUUGUUCUGGUGAAGAGAAUGCUGAUGAUUAUGUCAUUAUUAUUUAUAGGUUAUAGAAAUAUUCUACCAGUCUGACGAAAAUAUAUCACUUUUUAUAAUAUCUACAAUUAAGCCUGAUUUUCUGAAUAUUUGUAGGUUUACAGGAAGUGAGUAUAUAGAACUAUGUUUAGUGUUCCCUAUAAAUUUUCCUACUAUUUGUCUCUACUCUUAUUUUCCUUUGGGUGUACAGCAUUCAGCCCCCUUCUCUUGACCUCCUCUCUCAUGAAAUAAUCUGUCUAAAUGUUCUCAUCUAUAGAAAUCUAUAGUUUAUUUUUUAGGAAGAUUUAAAUUUCUCACCAAUUAUUUUCAAGAUGAUUAUCUUUUACCAUCUGAACUCUUGGAAUCUUUCUCCACCAGAGGCAACUUAUCUAAUUAUUCCUUGCAAAUAAUUGGAUAAGUUAAAAAAAACCAGACUUUGCAGAAAUGCUUAUAUAUAUGCAAACAAAUAUUUUGACUAAAUAUACACCUUAUUUUUGUCUGAUUUUUACUUCUGAAAUUCUGUAUUUGCUAUAAGCUGUAUAAUUCAACCUACAGAGUUUAAAAAUUAAAUCUAAUGAAAUUUAUUCUUUAAUGCAUUUUAGGAAUUACUACAAGAUGAAAUUGUAAAAAAAGUGGUGGGGUAAGAGGAAGUGUAAAAGGCAAGGUAGGUUAUAUAGCAUCAUUUGAAGUUGUCUAAAAAGAACUGAUCUGAAAGCUAGUUGCUCAAAAUAGUGCCCCAUAAUUUAAGAACUGUUUCUAGAUUAUAUCAUCCAGUUUGACUGAUCGUUCUAGUAAUACGCUUCACUUACUCUUUGAUAACAAUGGUCUAAAGAAUGUCAAGAAGAAGACUCCUUUUUAAAUAUAUCAUAUAUAAUAUUAACUCUGGAAAGCAGUAGGCUUGAUUACUAUUUUGCUUUGUUGUUAUAUGUUAUUAUUAUUAUUAUUACUCUCAUUCCUUAAAGGUAGUGCAGAUCAUUUACCAAGGAAUUCAUCCAUGCACUCAAAGCCCUCAAUAUCUUGUUACAUUGUUACCAUCUUGUCUCAGAACACCUGUCACAUCCUGUUUUCAUUACCUUGCCCAUAUUUCACAUUUUAACCUCUCUUCAUUUCAUGAUUUAUACAUAUUUAAACUUCAUCCCACAAGUACCCAACAAUCAUUCAGAGCCUGAAUUUUAAUCAUCUGCAACAUUUGGACUAUUUUACCUUCACUGUUGUAGCUCUAUUCAUUUAUUAGCGUUUAGAAUCUAACUAACUAUGGUCAGAAUGGAUAGUUUGAAACCCAAGUCUUAAUGUGAUUGUGUUUAGAGAUAGAGCCUAUGGGAGGUAAUUAGAUCAUGAGGUUGGCGACCUCAUGAUGUGAUAGGUUCCCUCAUUAAGAAAAGACACUGAAGGAGUUCCUGUUGUGGUGCAGCAGAAAUGAAUCUGACUAGCAUCCAUGAGGAUGCUGGUUCAAUCCCUGGCCUUACUCAGUGGGUUAAGGAUCUGGCCUUCCUGUGGCUGUGGUGUAGGUCGCAGAUGUGGCUUGGAUCCCACAUUGCUAUGGCUGUGGAGUAGGACAGCAGCUACAGCUCCAAUUUGACCCCUAGCCUGGGAACUUCUAUAUAUGCCGCAGGUGCAGCCCUAAAAG
rnacentral:lncRNA from 1 species